GAUGAACGCUGGCGGCGUGCCUAAUACAUGCAAGUCGAGCGAACAGACGAGGAGCUUGCUCCUCUGACGUUAGCGGCGGACGGGUGAGUAACACGUGGAUAACCUACCUAUAAGACUGGGAUAACUUCGGGAAACCGGAGCUAAUACCGGAUAACAUGUUGAACCGCAUGGUUCAACAGUGAAAGACGUUCUUGCUUUCACUUAUAGAUGGAUCCGCGCCGCAUUAGCUAGUUGGUAAGGUAACGGCUUACCAAGGCAACGAUGCGUAGCCGAACUGAGAGGGUGAUCGGCCACACUGGAACUGAGACACGGUCCAGACUCCUACGGGAGGCAGAAGUAGGGAAUCUUCCGCAAUGGGCGAAAGCCUGACGGAGCAACGCCGCGUGAGUGAAGAAGGUAUUCGGAUCGUAAAACUCUGUUAUUAGGGAAGAACAAUUGUGUAAGUAACUAUGCACGUCUUGACGGUACCUAAUCAGAAAGCCACGGCUAACUAAGUG
rnacentral:rRNA from 1 species